AGGUCUCCCAUUCGUGGCUGUUACCAGCGGCUUCCCGCUGGAUCGGCUGGAGCUGUGGUGUUUUGACGGCGUACUGGGUACCGCCACUGCGUGCAAAGGUGGCCUACUUCGCACCUGACUGGCCGUCAGGUCAAGUUUGUCCCUCCAGCUUUUCACCCGGAAAAGAAGACUGUCUUCGUCAUCGGCGACUCACACUUGAGGGG